rnacentral:rRNA from 1 species
UGGGGGAUAUUGCACAAUGGUCGAAAGCCUGAUGCAGCGACGCCGCGUGGGGGAUGAAGGCCUUCGGGUUGUAAACUUCUUUUGCUCUGAACAAGGCAUGCCUUUGGGGUGUGUUGUGUGUAGGGGUUGAUUAGCGCCGGCUAACUACGUGCCAGCAGCCGCGGUAAUACGUAGGGCGCGUGCGUUGUCCGGAAUUAUUGGGCGUAAAGGGCUUGUAGGUGGCUGGUUGCGUCUGUCGUGAAAGCUCAUGGCUUAACUGUGGGUUUGCGGUGGAUACGGGCUGGCUGGAGUGCAGUAGGGGAGGCUGGAAUUCCUGGUGUAGCGGUGGAAGGCGGAGAUAUCAGGAGGAAUACCGGUGGCGAAGGCGGGUCUCUGGGCUGUUACUGACGCUGGGGGGCGAAAGCGUGGGGGACGAACAGG